rnacentral:rRNA from 1 species
ACGGAAGGUGCGAGCGUUAAUCGGAAUUACUGGGCGUAAAGCGCACGUAGGUGGUUUUAUAAGUCGGAUGUGAAAGCCCCGGGCUUAACCUGGGAAUUGCAGUCGAUACUACUCAGCUAGAGUAUGGGAGAGGGUAGUGGAAUUCCAGGUGUAGCGGUGAAAUGCGUAGAUAUCUGGAGGAACACCGGUGGCGAAGGCGGCAUCCUGGUCCGGUAUUGACGCUGAGGCGCGAAAGCCAGGGGAGCAAACGGGA